CAAAGGGGCAGGGCGGUGCUCGGCGUGCAGGUGAAAGGUCUACCCCCCUCCCUCUGGCAAAAGGCAGGCGUCCAGCCGCAGACACACAAACCCCCUCGGGCUCUCGGAGCCGCCCCCAGCCCGCGCCUCCCGCCCUCUCCGGGGGGAGUCUGGGCUCCGAGGCCGAACCGAUCCUCCGGCGCCCGGCGCUCGCGGCUGGAGGCGCCGACUCCGGAAGGGGGAAGGGGAGGCCCCUUCCCGCCCCUGCCGCCUCCAGCCCCUUCGCGGUCUUCCCUGCAGGCCCUUCCUGGAUCCCUUUCCUUUUCCGGUCUGCGCAUCCCCUUCCCGGCUCGGGUCCACAGACUCCUAGUCCCUGCUACCCCUCUGGCCCCAAGCUCUUGAUCCCCCUCACCUCUAAAAGCCUUUUUUGGGGGGGAAAAAAAAGCAAACGCCCAACACACUCUGAAGGACCCGCCCCGUCCGCACCCGCGCCCCGCCCGUCGCCACCUUCAAGUUCACAGUAGGCAGCUCCAUCCCGACAUAGGCGGAGGGCACCGGCGCCGCGGCCGCGGGGGCUCCUGGGCUCCGAACUCCCGAAGCAAACUUGCCUCGCCCCGCCCCGCCCGCUUCGGCCACUCCACCUCCAGCUGUGCUACGGGCCACGUGAGGCGGCCACGUGAUCCACUCCCGGUUGCCAGGAGACGGCGUCGGGCGGCUCCCGCCCUCCUCCAGGUUUCCAGUUCAGGCUGCCUCCGAGGCAGUUCCCGCCGGCGGUUGGAGAAUGCUGGGAUUUGCUUCGCAGGGGGCGUCAGAUCUCGCUUGGAUCGCCUGGAUCGAGGGGACGACCUGCGGCCAAACAAUUUGGGGGAACGUCCUGGUGCCAAGAGCCGGUGUCUCGUCUCUGAGGGCACCGUGUUUCCUCCCUGUUUCCCAGUGUCAAAGUGGAGACAUUGACAAUACCCACCUCAUGAGGUUUAAUGGACUCGUCCAUGUUGAUAAUGAAACAAUUAUUCGGACACUUUAUGAAGCCUAAGGAAGACUGUUGCCAUCAGGGUAUCUCAAUGGGGAAACGUGGAGAAGCUUCCCUCCCGGGACAGCAAGGACCGGCACAAUGGGAGGCGUCAGUGGACAGAGAAUACCUAGAAGGGACAUCAAGAGUAGGGAGAUUCUUGCUAAACUGACCCAACAGGAUUCUUGUUAAAGGCAGGCCAGGACACCAAAGGCCUCGGACACCUGAGAACACCUAAGAGGCGUCAGAUCGCAAGCACCUUCCAGGACAUCCGCUUCGAACAAACCUCGGCCGACGCUGACUCCCUUCAGCGAUUUAUAAAACAGCACCUGGUAUUCCCCCA